rnacentral:tRNA from 1 species
GGGAAGGUGCCAGAGUGGUUGAAUGGGGCGGUCUCGAAAACCGUUGUGGGCGUUCCCGUCCACCGUGGGUUCGAAUCCCACCCUUCCCG